UACACUCCUGCGGGAGGCAGCAGUGGGGAAUCUUGCGCAAUGGGCGAAAGCCUGACGCAGCCAUGCCGCGUGAAUGAUGAAGGUCUUAGGAUUGUAAAAUUCUUUCACCGGGGACGAUAAUGACGGUACCCGGAGAAGAAGCCCCGGCUAACUUCGUGCCAGCAGCCGCGGUAAUACGAAGGGGGCUAGCGUUGCUCGGAAUUACUGGGCGUAAAGGGAGCGUAGGCGGACAUUUAAGUCAGGGGUGAAAUCCCGGGGCUCAACCUCGGAAUUGCCUUUGAUACUGGGUGUCUUGAGUAUGAGAGAGGUGUGUGGAACUCCGAGUGUAGAGGUGAAAUUCGUAGAUAUUCGGAAGAACACCAGUGGCGAAGGCGACACACUGGCUCAUUACUGACGCUGAGGCUCGAAAGCGUGGGGAGCAAACAGGAUUAGAUACCCCGGUAGUCCC
rnacentral:rRNA from 1 species